CCUGGUUGAUCCUGCCAGUAGUCAUAUGCUUGUCUCAAAGAUUAAACCAUGCAUGUGUAAGUAUGAACUAAUUCAUACUGUGAAACUGCGAAUGGCUCAUUAAAUUAAUUAUAGUUUGUUUGAUGGUUCCUGCUACUCGGAUAACUGUAGUAAUUCUAGAGCUAAUACAUGCAACAAACCGUGACUUCUGGACGGGGUGCAUUUAUUAGAUUAAAGGUCGACACGAGCUCUGCUCGUUGCUACGAUGAUUCAUGAUAACUCGACGGAUCGCACGGCCCUCGUGCCGGUAACGCAUUAUUCAAAUUUCUGCCCUAUCAACUUUCGAUGGUAGUAUAGUGGCCUACCAUGGUGGUGAUGGGUUACAUAGAAUUAGGGUUUGAUUCCGGAGAGAGAGCAUGAGAAACGGCUACCACAUCCAAGGAAGGUAGCAGGCGCGCAAAUUACCCAAUCCUGAUACGGGGAGGUAGUGACAAUAAAUUACAAUACCGGGCUCUUCGAGUCUGGUAAUUGGAAUGAGUACAAUCUAAAUCCCUUAAUGAGGAUCCAUUGAAGGGCAAGUUUGGUGCCAGCAGCCACGGUAAUUCCAGCUCCAAUAGUGUAUAUUUAAGUUUUUGCAGUUAAAAAGCUCUUAGUUGGACUUUGGGUUGGUCCAGCCGGUCCGCCUUCCGGUGUGCAUCAGUCGUCUCAUCCCUUCUGCCGGCGAUGUACUCCUAGUCUUAACUGGCCAGGUCGUGCCUCCAGCGCUAUUACUUUGAAGAAAUUUGAGUGCUCAAAGCAAGCCUAUGCUCUGGAUAUAUUAGCAUUGGAUAACAUUAUAGGAUUUCGGUCAUAGUACGUUGGCCUUCGGGAUCGGAGUAAUGAUUAACAGGGACAGUCAGGGGCAUUCGUAUUUCAUAGUCAAAGGUGAAAUUCUUGGAUUUAUGAAAGACAAACAACUGCGAAAGCAUUUGCUAAGGAUGUUUUCAUUGAUCAAGAUUGAAAGUUGGGGGCUCGAAGACGAUCAGAUACCAUCCUAGUCUCAACCAUAAACGAUGCCAACCAAGGAUCGGCGGAUGUUGCUUAAAGGACUCCGCCGGAACCUUAUGAGAAAUCAAAGUCUUUGGGUUCCGGGGGGAGUAUGGUCGUAAGGCUGAAACUUAAAGGAAUUGACAGAAGGGCACCACCAGGAGUGGAGCCUGCGGCUUAAUUUGACUCAACACGGGGAAACUUACUAGGUCCAGACAAGUAAGGAUUGACAGACUGAGAGCUCUUUCUUUUUUUUAGUUUUGGUGUAAAAGUAAAUAAUAUAUAAAAAUAAUCGUAACUGUUACAACAAGACAACGAUACAAACACCAACUGGUAAGAAUGGUGUACAAAGAAGGGCAAAUGAGGUUUAAACAGGACCUCAAAACUACCACUGAAGGACAAAUGGUAGAAGGGAAGGUGAAGCUCCCAAAACAUCCAUGACUCGUUGGCCUCAUUAAAACCUACUUAUGAAAAACCUCCCCCAAAGGGGAAAAACCAUAAGUAGGAAAAAGAGUACCAACAUCAGCGAAAGAGGCAUGAAUGAAACUCCAACGAUACAAGAUGGCGAGAGUAAAGAACAAUACAACCAAAAAUUCUCCAACCAUACCAGGAUGGCGAGAGAGCAACCAAAAUAACAAUUUGACAGGAAAAACCCCGGUCUGAUAACAA
rnacentral:rRNA from 1 species